rnacentral:tRNA from 2 species
AUCAGCACGACACGCGGCCGGCAUCCCGACAGCUUUCAGCUGUUCGACGCCACCAAGGGCGAUAUCGGGGCCGGCGUUCCAAUCGCCGUCCUGGUC